AGAGUUUGAUCCUGGCUCAGGAUGAACGCUGGCGGCGUGCUUAACACAUGCAAGUCGAACGAAGCACUUUAUUUGAUUUCCUUCGGGACUGAUUAUUUUGUGACUGAGUGGCGGACGGGUGAGUAACGCGUGGGUAACCUGCCUUGUACAGGGGGAUAACAGUUGGAAACGGCUGCUAAUACCGCAUAAGCGCACAGCAUCGCAUGAUGCAGUGUGAAAAACUCCGGUGGUAUAAGAUGGACUCGCGUUGGAUUAGCUAGUUGGUGAGGUAACGGCCCACCAAGGCGACGAUCCAUAGCCGACCUGAGAGGGUGACCGGCCACAUUGGGACUGAGACACGGCCCAAACUCCUACGGGAGGCAGCAGUGGGGAAUAUUGCACAAUGGGCGAAAGCCUGAUGCAGCGACGCCGCGUGAGCGAAGAAGUAUUUCGGUAUGUAAAGCUCUAUCAGCAGGGAAGAUAAUGACGGUACCUGACUAAGAAGCACCGGCUAAAUACGUGCCAGCAGCCGCGGUAAUACGUAUGGUGCAAGCGUUAUCCGGAUUUACUGGGUGUAAAGGGAGCGCAGGCGGUGCGGCAAGUCUGAUGUGAAAGCCCGGGGCUCAACCCCGGUACUGCAUUGGAAACUGUCGUACUAGAGUGUCGGAGGGGUAAGCGGAAUUCCUAGUGUAGCGGUGAAAUGCGUAGAUAUUAGGAGGAACACCAGUGGCGAAGGCGGCUUACUGGACGAUAACUGACGCUGAGGCUCGAAAGCGUGGGGAGCAAACAGGAUUAGAUACCCUGGUAGUCCACGCCGUAAACGAUGA
rnacentral:rRNA from 1 species